rnacentral:sRNA from 1 species
CGCCAUGAGGGCUUUAGUCCAAUUUAGCGGUGAGCUCAGAUUUCUCCUUCUAUUUUUACACAGGUCAGAUGUACAGCACAAAAUAAUUGUUCCAGGAAAAAGUGCAAAACACGAUGCUCUCCUCACAGAAGUCAUCUGCUCACCUCUGCACAUGGGCACGGGAGUCACUGCAGAAGAGUCUACCUAAAAGCCUGACCAUCUCAUUCUUCAAGACUAAAGCCACAAAGGUCUCACACUAGCAUGAAGUUGCUGAAGCCCCUGGAGAUUCAGGAACCCAGUGUAGCCACCAACAGAAGAGCUCUGGUCCUGGACUCUGCCUUCCUGCUGUACACUCCUGCUGGCCUGCAUGGGCUCACCUUGGGUGGAGAAGGUAACUCCAUCUCUUGGAAUGAAGAAGUUGGUCCAAAACACCUCCAGCCUGUCAGAAAGCCGAGACACACAGGCUAUGACGAAGUCCUUUCAGAAUGGGCAGGGAGACGUACAGAUGAGGAAAUUCACUUCAGCAGGGAAUCUGCUAAGCGUGGCAGGAUUCCUGCUCUGGACUCUCAAAGCCUCCCGUUAAUGGAAACAGCAGGUUAACCUGGUCUGACCAACAGGAAGCCACGUGACCCAAUCUCUGUACCACGGAUGCCUUGAACGUGCAGCUUAGACCUCGAGAGAGACUCGGGGAGACAAUUGCCAUUAUCAGAGGGACGAACCCAGUCAUGGAGAGUGUGCUCCUCAGCCAGGGUCCUCCUGCACGAAAGCAACCGAAGCAGAAAACUGAGGGUCAAUGUGGCGAGAACAAAGCGGAAACUCAGUCUCCAGGAGAAAACCAGAUCUGAUGAGCACUCACGGGCUGGGGAAAGGCUCGGUGGGUGAAGUGCCUGUCCUGCAAACAUGGGGACCUGCGUUCAGAUCUCCACCCCGGUGUCAGCAGCCAGCAAGGGGGCUGCAGCUGUAACCCCAGUGCUGGGAUGGGAGCCGAGGCCUGUCCAUCACUAGAGCUCAGUGGCCAGGCAAUCUAACCAAUCUGUGAGCUCAGGAUUUAGUGAGAGGGAGGAGGGAGACAUAAACCAAAUAAAUAAAUGUAAUUGUAAAUAAAUAAA